CCAUCAGUAUGCUGAUGGGAAUGAUCCAGUUGAGAUGGAAAAUUUGAUGCUGCAGAUGAGAGAGUGGAUAAUUGCUGGAGUGAUGCUUUUUAAUAAGCAAGAGAAGAAGGGAUCCAGUGUGCAAGGGGAGGGGCUGGCCUCAGACAGACACAUGGACGAUUCAUUCAUCAUGAGAGGAGGAAAGUGGGGGAAAAAUGAUGUCAUCAGCUGAAAGUGAGAAGCAAGGAGAGCUGCGUGCAGGCCUGAAAAGAAAGGAGGCGUGAUGCAGUCAUCUGCCAGAGGGAGUAGGAGAGGCGAUUUGCCUGGGGAAAACAGUGUAGGAUUGCUGGGCAGCAAUAUGGCAGCAAUGUGUCCUCCGAGGUCAGUGGUGAUGAAGUUAAAGGGAAACCUUUCAGUACAGCUCUGUGUUUUUAUCCAGCCACCUUUAACACCUGGAGUGCAGGCAUGAAAUAGCUAAAAGUCAGAUUUGACAAGUGUUGAUUUUGCUAGGCCUAUAGGUUGGGAGAGAGAAGAUCAGAAUGGUUGUAAUUGUUAUCUAUUACUGUGAAACACAUGACUCCAACACAAUUACCCCCAAACAACAAACAUGUAUUACCUCCUGGUUUCUGUGGGUCACAAUUUGGAAUUUGGAAGUAGCUCAGGCUGGGCAGUUCUGGCUUGGGGUCUUUCACAAGGCUGCAGUCAAGAUGUUACCUCAGGUUACAGUCAUCUAAAAGCUUGUCUAGGGCUGGAGGAUCUGCUUCCAGGGUGGCGCACUCACAUGGCUGGCAAGUCAGUAGUGGUGGUUGGUGGAAAACUCAGUUCCUCUACAGGAACCCUCUAUAGACUGCCAGAGUGUACUCAUAGCAUGACAACCAGCUUCUCCCAGAGCUACCAGUCCAAGAGGGAGACCUAAGCAGAAGCUAUCCUUCCUUGACCUAUGCUCAGAAGUGACAUUGCAUUACUUUUGCUGCAUUCUAUUUGUUAAACGCAAGUCACUAAGUCAAGUCCCCAUCCAAGGGGAGGAGAAUUAGACCCCACCUUUUAGAGGGAGUAGUGUUGUUACAGACUGAAUGUUUAUGUCUGCCCCCACCACAGAUUCCUGUGUUGGAGCCCUAACCCAUAGUAUGGCUGUAUUUGGAGAUGGGGCUUCCAAGAAACAAAUUAAUGUUAAGUAAGAUCAUAAAGACAUCAAGGAAGAGCCACGUGAGGACACAGCAAGAAAGUAGCCAUCUACAAUUCAGGAAGCAUCCUCACCAGAAACCAAAUUGGCCAGAAUCUUAGUCUUAGACUACUAGCCUCCAGAACCGUGAGAAAAAAAAAAAAAAUCCAUGCUCAAGCCACCCACUCUAGAGCAUUUCAUUAUGACAGCCAAGCUGAUGAGUACAAGCAUCAAAGAACUUGCAGACAUAUUUUAAUGUCACUACAAGGCCCCAGGGUUUAUGUAUACAUUCUCCACGAUUUGGAAAGAGUUUCUCUCCCUGGGACAAAUGAGCACCAUCAGAGAUCAUUUAUAAAGAGCAAGCACUUUUGUGCCUCCAUAUUAUCGAACGGCAGAAAAAAAAUUUCACAAAGCCCAAGAAAGGGCCUCAAAGAAACUGUCAAGUACACAAAGCUGAGCAAAACCUCUCUUCUCAACGCCACAGUCGUGCCUGGCUUUUAAAAUUCUAAUUAAGAGAAAACGAAGAGGGCGAACUCACUGAAGGCAAGAACAGAGGCCUGGCUGUAAUUCCACCCGCUCCCCACCACCCUCAAGCACUGAACCCAGAGCUUGUACACAGUAGGAGGUAAGUAAAUACUGAUGAAAUUGAGUGGAGCUGGCCCAGAGCAGAGGAAGCGGGAAAGGGAGGAGGGAGCUGGAGCCCAGGGCUCCUGCCGUCACCGCCUUCAGGCUGCGAGGAAAGUCGAAUGAAAAGCCUGCCAGACCUCUAACGAGUGCUCCACCGCCAGCAGGCUGCAAUUGCUCAUUGUGUUUGGUUAUAAUUAGCAGCAUAUUCUGCGAUGGCAAAGCAGGCAGCGAGCAGGAGCAGGGCUGGGAACAGGCUGCCACCCUCGCAGCCAUCGGUCCGGGGGCCUGGGCUGCAGAACUUGGGCUCCUUCACUUCCUGGCCCUGCCUGCCCUGGAUCCAGUCUGGGCGUGGGCUGGCAGACCUCGAUCGGUGAUGCUGGGCCAACACCAGACCCCAAAGAGGAACUAUUUGCUGUGAUUGCAUGAGAGCAUGGGCUGAAAAAUUGGGCUCACCUGGGGUUAAGACCAAGUUUUGUUUGCAAUGUACAAACAAUGUGUCCACAGGCACGUGAGCCUCAGUUUCCCCAUCUAUAAAAUGGGUCAGUAAUAAAAAUACUAGUACUCCUCUUUCUUAUGGUGUGUGGUGAGACUUGAAACGGACAACUCAUCUAAGGCACUUGGCAGAAGGCCCUGUGUGCUGUUGGCACUCAGUGUCUUGCAGCUGCUAUUGCAAAAGUGACAGAAGUGGCUUCUACUCUGGCCCUUUCCUCUCCCCUCUCUGCAAUGUUUAUCUCACCCCUGCACAGGUGCUCAGCAGCCUGCAACUUCUUUCUCCACCCCUAUGGAACCAGCUCUCAGGGGAGGGUCUGCCUUAGCAGUGUCAGUUCAGUGUAAACAGAGGGAACUGCGUGACCUCUCCUAGGGGAGUGGCCUCAAAUUUUUUAAACUGUGAUCCACAGGACAAAAUACAUUUUACAUAGUGACCAAGGACACACAUACUUAUCAGUAAAUAAAACAGAAACGUAAGUUUCAUGAAACCACACUUACACAAACCAAGUGCA